rnacentral:tRNA from 1 species
GGGCGUAUAGCUCAGUGGUAGAGCAUCGGCCUUACAAGCCGGGGGUCACAGGUUCAAGCCCUGUUGCGCCCA